UCGCGGUUACCAGAGAUGGUUUCCUUCAGUUAGGCUGGAUCGGUGACAGGUGCUGCAUGGCUGUCGUCAGCUCGUGUCGUGAGAUGUUGGGUUAAGUCCCGCAACGAGCGCAACCCUCGCCCUUAGUUGCCAUCAUUCAGUUGGGCACUCUAAGGGGACUGCCGGUGAUAAGCCGAGAGGAAGGUGGGGAUGACGUCAAGUCCUCAUGGCCCUUACGGGCUGGGCUACACACGUGCUACAAUGGUGGUGACAGUGGGCAGCGAGCCCGCGAGGUCGAGCUAAUCUCACAAAAGCCAUCUCAGUUCGGAUUGCACUCUGCAACUCGAGUGCAUGAAGUUGGAAUCGCU
rnacentral:rRNA from 1 species